rnacentral:rRNA from 1 species
UACGUAGGGUGCAGGCGUUAAUCGGAAUUACUGGGCGUAAAGCGUGCGCAGGCGGUCUAUUAAGACAGGUGUGAAAUCCCCGGGCUUAACCUGGGAACUGCGCUUGUAACUGAUAGGCUGGAGUGUGGCAGAGGGGGGUGGAAUUCCACGUGUAGCAGUGAAAUGCGUAGAGAUGUGGAGGAACACCGAUGGCGAAGGCAGCCCCCUGGGCUAACACUGACGCUCAUGCACGAAAGCGUGGGGAGCAAACAGG